UAAUUGAAGAGUUUGAUCAUGGCUCAGAUUGAACGCUGGCGGCAGGCCUAACACAUGCAAGUCGGGCGGUAACAGGGAGAAGCUUGCUUCUCUGCUGACGAGCGGCGGACGGGUGAGUAAUGUAUGGGGAUCUGCCUG
rnacentral:rRNA from 1 species